rnacentral:rRNA from 1 species
AGCGAACGCUGGCGGCAGGCCUAACACAUGCAAGUCGAACGAAGCCUUCGGGCUUAGUGGCGGACGGGUGAGUAACACGUGGGAACGUACCUUUUGGUUCGGAACAACUCAGGGAAACUUGAGCUAAUACCGGAUGAGCCCUUAGGGGGAAAGAUUUAUCGCCGAAAGAGCGGCCCGCGUUAGAUUAGCUAGUUGGUGAGGUAAAGGUUCACCAAGGCUACGAUCUAUAGCUGGUCUGAGAGGAUGAUCAGCCACACUGGGACUGAGACACGGCCCAGACUCCUACGGGAGGCAGCAGUGGAGAAUCUUGCGCAAUGGGCGAAAGCCUGACGCAGCCAUGCCGCGUGAAUGAUGAAGGUCUUAGGAUUGUAAAAUUCUUUUACCAGGGACGAUAAUGACGGUACCUGGAGAAAAAGCCCCGGCUAACUUCGUGCCAGCAGCCGCCGUAAUAC